GGUUAAGCGACUAAGCGUACACGGUGGAUGCCUAGGCAAUCAGAGGCGAUGAAGGACGUGCUAAUCUGCGAUAAGCGUCGGUAAGGUGAUAUGAACCGUGAUAACCGACGAUUUCCGAAUGGGGAAACCCAGUGCAAUUCGUUGCACUAUCGUUUGAUGAAUACAUAGUCAAACGAAGCGAACCGGGGGAACUGAAACAUCUCAGUACCCCGAGGAAAAGAAAUCAACCGAGAUUCCCCUAGUAGCGGCGAGCGAACGGGGAGCAGCCCAGAGUCUUAAUCAGCAUUAGCAUCAGGAGAACGGUCUGGAAAGGCCGGCAGUAAAGGGUGAUAGCCCCGUAUCCGAAGGUGUUAGUGUUGUGAACUCGACGAGUAGGGCGGGACACGUGUUAUCCUGUCUGAAUAUGGGGGGACCAUCCUCCAAGGCUAAAUACUCCUGAUUGACCGAUAGUGAACCAGUACCGUGAGGGAAAGGCGAAAAGAACCCCGGCGAGGGGAGUGAAAUAGAACCUGAAACCGUGUACGUACAAGCAGUGGGAGCACCUUUAGGGGUGUGACUGCGUACCUUUUGUAUAAUGGGUCAGCGACUUAUAUUCUGUAGCAAGGUUAACCGUAUAGGGGAGCCGUAGGGAAACCGAGUCUUAACUGGGCGAAUGAGUUGCAGGGUAUAGACCCGAAACCCGGUGAUCUAGCCAUGGGCAGGUUGAAGGUUGGGUAACACUAACUGGAGGACCGAACCGACUAAUGUUGAAAAAUUAGCGGAUGACUUGUGGCUGGGGGUGAAAGGCCAAUCAAACCGGGAGAUAGCUGGUUCUCCCCGAAAGCUAUUUAGGUAGCGCCUCGUGAACUCAUCUUCGGGGGUAGAGCACUGUUUCGACUAGGGGGUCAUCCCGACUUACCAACUCGAUGCAAACUACGAAUACCGAAGAAUGUUAUCACGGGAGACACACGGCGGGUGCUAACGUUCGUCGUGAAGAGGGAAACAACCCAGACCGCCAGCUAAGGUCCCAAAGUCAUAGUUAAGUGGGAAACGAAGUGGGAAGGCUCAGACAGCCAGGAUGUUGGCUUAGAAGCAGCCAUCAUUUAAAGAAAGCGUAAUAGCUCACUGGUCGAGUCGGCCUGCGCGGAAGAUGUAACGGGGCUAAACUAUGCACCGAAGCUGCGGCAGCGAUAUGUAAAUAUUGUUGGGUAGGGGAGCGUUCUGUAAGCCUGUGAAGGUGURCUGUGAGGYAUGCUGGAGGUAUCAGAAGUGCGAAUGCUGACAUAAGUAACGAUAAUGCGGGUGAAAAACCCGCACGCCGGAAGACCAAGGGUUCCUGUCCAACGUUAAUCGGGGCAGGGUGAGUCGACCCCUAAGGCGAGGCAGAAAUGCGUAGUCGAUGGGAAACGGGUUAAUAUUCCCGUACUGGUGAUAAUUGCGAUGGGGGGACGGAGAAGGCUAGGCUAUCCGGGCGACGGUUGUCCCGGUUUAAGGAUGUAGGCAGGUGAAUUAGGCAAAUCCGGUUCACUAUAUGCUGAGGUCCGACGACGAGUCACUACGGUGAUGAAGUAGCUCAUGCCCCGCUUCCAGGAAAAGCCUCUAAGCUCUAGAUUAUCAUUAAUCGUACCCCAAACCGACACAGGUGGUCAGGUAGAGAAUACUCAGGCGCUUGAGAGAACUCGGGUGAAGGAACUAGGCAAAAUGGUGCCGUAACUUCGGGAGAAGGCACGCUGGCGCUAGGUGAAGUCCCUCGCGGAUGGAGCUGAAGCCAGUCGCAGAUACCAGCUGGCUGCAACUGUUUAUUAAAAACACAGCACUGUGCAAACACGAAAGUGGACGUAUACGGUGUGACGCCUGCCCGGUGCUGGAAGGUUAAUUGAUGGGGUUAUCCGUAAGGAGAAGCUCUUGAUCGAAGCCCCAGUAAACGGCGGCCGUAACUAUAACGGUCCUAAGGUAGCGAAAUUCCUUGUCGGGUAAGUUCCGACCUGCACGAAUGGCGUAAUGAUGGCCAGGCUGUCUCCACCCGAGACUCAGUGAAAUUGAACUCGCUGUGAAGAUGCAGUGUACCCGCGGCAAGACGGAAAGACCCCGUGAACCUUUACUAUAGCUUGACACUGAACAUUGAGCCUUGAUGUGUAGGAUAGGUGGGAGGCUUUGAAGUGUGGACGCCAGUCUGCAUGGAGCCAACCUUGAAAUACCACCCUUUAAUGUUUGAUGUUCUAACGUAGCCCCGUUAUCCGGGGUGCGGACAGUGUCUGGUGGGUAGUUUGACUGGGGCGGUCUCCUCCCAAAGAGUAACGGAGGAGCACGAAGGUUGGCUAAGCAUGGUCGGACAUCAUGCGGUUAGUGCAAAGGCAUAAGCCAGCUUGACUGCGAGAGUGACGGCUCGAGCAGGUACGAAAGUAGGUCUUAGUGAUCCGGUGGUUCUGAAUGGAAGGGCCAUCGCUCAACGGAUAAAAGGUACUCCGGGGAUAACAGGCUGAUACCGCCCAAGAGUUCAUAUCGACGGCGGUGUUUGGCACCUCGAUGUCGGCUCAUCACAUCCUGGGGCUGAAGUAGGUCCCAAGGGUACGGCUGUUCGCCGUUUAAAGUGGUACGCGAGCUGGGUUUAGAACGUCGUGAGACAGUUCGGUCCCUAUCUGCCGUGGGCGUUGGAAGAUUGAAAGGGGCUGCUCCUAGUACGAGAGGACCGGAGUGGACGCACCACUGGUGUUCGGGUUGUCAUGCCAAUGGCAUUGCCCGGUAGCUAAGUGCGGAAGAGAUAACCGCUGAAAGCAUCUAAGCGGGAAACUUGCCUUGAGAUGAGUCUUCCCUGACCCUUUAAGGGUCCUAAAGGAACGUUUAAGACUAAGACGUUGAUAGGUUGGGUGUGUAAGCGUAGCGAUACGUUGAGCUAACCAAUACUAAUGAACCGUGAGGCUUAACCUG
rnacentral:rRNA from 1 species